GACGAACGCUGGCGGCGUGCCUAAUACAUGCAAGUCGAACGCAGUUGCGCACGGGUGAGUAACGCGUCUGUAACUGCCUGGUAGCGGGGGCUAACUCUUGGACACGAUUGCUAAUACCGCAUACUACCAACUGGACCUGCCUUGUAUUAGCUAGUUGGUGGGGUAACGGCUCACAAAGGCAACGAUACAUACCCGACCUGAGAGGGUGAUCGGCCAAACGGGUACUGAGACACGGCCCAGACUCCGACGGGAGCCAGCAGUAGGGAAUCUUCGGCAAGGGACGGAAGUCUGACCGAGCAACGCCGCGUGAGUGAAGAAGGUUUUCGGAUCGUAAAGCUCGGUUGUAAGAGAAGCGGGAUCUAACCAGAAAGCCACGGCUAACUACGUGCCAGCAGCCGCGGUAAUUC
rnacentral:rRNA from 1 species